CUACGUGCCAGCAGCCGCGGUAAUACGGAAGGUCCAGGCGUUAUCCGGAUUUAUUGGGUUUAAAGGGAGCGUAGGCGGAUUGUUAAGUCAGCGGUUAAAGGGUGUGGCUCAACCAUGCAUUGCCGUUGAAACUGGCGAUCUUGAGUGCAGACAGGGAUGCCGGAAUUCGUGGUGUAGCGGUGAAAUGCUUAGAUAUCACGAAGAACUCCGAUCGCGAAGGCAGGUGUCCGGGCUGCAACUGACGCUGAGGCUCGAAAGUGUGGGUAUCAAACAGGAUUAGAUACCCUGGUAGUCCACACAGUAAACGAUGUAUACUCGCGGUUUGCGAUAGACAGUAAGCCGCCAAGCGAAAGCAUUAAGUAUACCACCUGGGGAGUACGCCGGCAACGGUGAAACUCAAAGGAAUUGACGGGGGCCCGCACAAGCGGAGGAACAUGUGGUUUAAUUCGAUGAUACGCGAGGAACCUUACCCGGGAUUGAA
rnacentral:rRNA from 1 species